rnacentral:rRNA from 1 species
GGAAUCUUGGACAAUGGGCGAAAGCCUGAUCCAGCGACGCCGCGUGGGUGAUGAAGGCCUUCGGGUUGUAAAGCCCUUUCGCCGGGGACGAUGAUGACGGUACCCGGAGAAGAAGCCCCGGCUAACUCCGUGCCAGCAGCCGCGGUAAGACGGAGGGUGCUAGCGUGGUGCGGACUCACUGGGCGUAAAGGGCGCGUAGGCGGCCGAGGCAGUCGGGUGUGAAAGCCCGGGGCUCAACCCCGGAACGGCACUCGAUACUCUUCGGCUCGAGGUCGGAAGAGGAGGGUGGAAUACCCAGUGUAGAGGUGAAAUUCGUAGAUAUUGGGUGGAACACCGGUGGCGAAAGCGGCUCUCUGGUCCGAACCUGACGCUGAGGCGCGAAAGCGUGGGGAGCAAAC